rnacentral:rRNA from 1 species
GAAAAUUACAAGCAUAAGCUCAAAACUCAAAGGACUUGGCGGCGCUUUAGAUCCCCCUAGAGGAGCCUGUCCUAUAAUCGAUAACCCCCGUUAAACCUUACCUUCUUUCGCUACCAGUCUAUAUACCGCCGUCGUCAGCUUACCCCUUAUAGGUUCCAUAAGUGAGCAAAACCGGUCGAACCCCAAACGUCAGGUCAAGGUGUAGCAUAUAAGAAGUGAAGAGAUGGGCUACAUUUCCUAAACAGGGUCUACGAACAAUGUUUUGAAACAAACAUAUUGAAGUAGGAUUUAGCAGUAAGUAAAAAAUAGAGUGUUUU